rnacentral:tmRNA from 1 species
GGGGCCGACUGGCAUCGACCGGGCGGGGAACGUAUGUCGUUGCGUGUCGCGGCGCAUCCAACCGCGUUAUCAAGGGUGCAACACUUUAACUGCCAACACGCAGUACGCACUCGCGGCUUGACCGCGACGUUCAGUGACUGACGUCCGAUAGGACACUGAACGACGCAUCGGACUGGCUUCAAUGGGCUGACAGGCCUCGGCGAAGUGAGACAUUUGUCUGUCAUGGCCCGCAGGAAGGUCGUUGCUCACCGUCCUGCGGGGCGAGAGUAAACAGCAACUACACACGUAGACGCGGCACACCGACCGUCACGGCACGGGGGUUCGAAUCCCCCCGGCUCCAUUA